rnacentral:lncRNA from 1 species
CCUGCUUAGAUGCCUGGUGACUCUCAUCUUGCAGCAGGCCACACUGUUGGCCUCCAAUGAAGCCUUUAAAAAGCAGAUGGAGAGUGCUAGUGAGGCGGCCAAGAAGUACACGGAGAAUGACCAGCUCAAGAAGUGAGCUGCUGUUGACGGAGGCAAGUUGGAUGUCGGGAAUGCUGAGGUGAAGUUGGAGGAAGAGAACAGGAGCCUGAAGGCUGAGCUGCAGAAGCUAAAGGAUGAGCUGGCCAGCACUAAGCAAACUGAAAACCAGGUUCUGGCCAUGCGGAAGCAGUCUGAGGGCCUCACCAAGGAGUACGACCGCUUGCAGUAGGAGCACGCAAAGCUGCAGGCUACAGUAGUUGGUCCCAUGGACAAGAAGAAAGAGUAA